AUAUAUAUAUAUGAGAAAAAGAUAAAAAUAGCACUAAAUCAAGUUUAUAUUCUCAAACUAGCACUUAAGGUCAAAAGUCACAAAAAUAACAUUUAAUGUUUUAUCAAAAGUCACAAACUUAGGGUUUAGAGUUAAAGGGUGGGGUUUAGGAUUUAGGGUUUAGAGUUUAGGGUUUAGAGUUUAGGGUUUAGGGUUUAGAUUUUAGGGUUUAGGGUUUAGGGUUUAGGGUUUAGAGUUUAGGGCUUAGGGUUUAGAGUUAAGGGUUUAGGGUUUAUGGUUUAGGGUUUAGGGUUUAGAGUUUAGGGUUUAGGGUUUAGAGUUGAGAAAUGAGGUUUUGGGGAUAAGAUUUCAAAUUUUGAAAAAUAAAAAAAUUAAAAUUUUCAAAGGAUAAACUUAGAAAUUGG
rnacentral:lncRNA from 1 species